ACCAAGGUGGUGUAAUGGUAACAUUCCGAGUUGACACCUGGGGCGGCCUACUGCGCUAAACCAGGCCCUUCGGGGGCGGAGGGAUCCGGGUUCGAUUCCUGGCCUUGGGA